UCGGUCACUCACUCGCUUUGGAUACGGAAGGAACAUCUCGGCAUUAAGAGAAAAAGAAGAGAGACGCUCAGAAGUGGAUCGGAAGUAUACCUGUGAUCUUCGUCAUCAUCGUCGCCGUCUCCGUCGUCAUCUUCGACAGUUGCGUUUUUGUUUGAGAGCUUCACGUAGAGUCUCCGCAUGAGACCUGGUGUGCUAGCGGUGGAGAAGCGAUGACUGUCGCUGGGAAGUGCUUUUUCGCUUAUGUGAAUAAGCGCUUUUUCCUGUUUCCAGUAGAUGCGUUUAGGCAUUGGAGUUGAUAGGACCUAAGGCCCAAGGAAAUUCACUAUCCACACUCCCUGCUGCUUGGCCCACACAAUCUUUGUCUGUUCCAAGUUUGCUUCUUGGAUUAGGCUUAGGCUUAAGUAAUCUUAGGAUUAAUUAGGUGAGUUAGGAUUAGUUUAAUAUACCAAUUAGGAUAAGCUUAAAACAAUUUUAGAGUCAUUAGAUUAAUCUUAGGAUAAUUUAGAUUAAUUAAUUAGAAUUUUAAAGUGAUUUAAAUUUGUUUUAGAAUGAGUUGAUUAAUUGUGUGGAAGUUUAUUUGGUAAUGUUUAGAAUUGCUUUGUAAUUGUUUAGGAUUUAUUUUAAUAAUUGGAACUUGUGUGAGUUGGAUUUUCA